UACGUAGGUGUCAAGCGUUGUCCGGAUUUAUUGGGCGUAAAGCGCCCGCAGGCGGCUUGCCAAGUUCGAUGUGAAAUCUCCCGGCUCAACUGGGAGGGUGCAUCGAAAACUGGCAGGCUUGAGGCAGGGAGAGGGAUGUGGAAUUCCAGGUGUAGUGGUGAAAUUCGUAGAUAUUCGGAAGAACACCAGUGGCGAAGGCGACUCACUGGACACAUAUUGACGCUGAGGCGCGAAAGCGUGGGGAGCAAACAGG
rnacentral:rRNA from 1 species